UCGAGAAUCUUUCACAAUGGGGGGAACCCUGAUGGAGCGACGCCGCGUGGAGGAUACAGUCUUCGGAUUUUAAACUCCUGUCAUGCGAGAGUAAGGUUAAUAGCUUGAUAGUAUCGCAAGAGGAAGAGGCGGCAAACUCUGUGCCAGCAGCCGCGGUAAUACAGAGGCCUCAAGCGUUGUUCGGAAUCACUGGGCGUAAAGGGUGCGUAGGUGGCUUUGUAAGUCAAUUUGUAAAAUCCGUGCGCUCAACGCACGUGUGCAUUUGAUACUGCGAGGCUUGAGAUAUUUAGGGGAGAUGGGAAUUCACGGUGUAGCAGUGAAAUGCGUAGAUAUCGUGAGGAACACCAAUGGCGAAGGCACAUCUCUGGAAAUUUUCUGACACUGAGGCACGAAGGCUAGGGUAGCAAAUG
rnacentral:rRNA from 1 species